rnacentral:rRNA from 1 species
CACGUAAGGUGCGAGCGUUGUUCGGAAUUAUUGGGCGUAAAGGGCAUGUAGGCGGCAUGGUAAGUCGGGCGUGAAAUACCGGGGCCCAACCCCGGGGCUGCGCCCGAUACUGCCGUGCUUGAGUCAGCGAGGCGGAACUGGAAUUCCUGGUGUAGGGGUGAAAUCUGUAGAUAUCAGGAAGAACACCGGUGGCGAAGGCAGGUUCCGAGCGCAUGACUGACGCUGAGGUGCGAAGGUGCGGGGAGCGAACAGG